UACGAAGGGGGCUAGCGUUGCUCGGAAUUACUGGGCGUAAAGCGCACGUAGGCGGACAUUUAAGUCAGGGGUGAAAUCCCGGGGCUCAACCCCGGAACUGCCUUUGAUACUGGGUGUCUUGAGUGUGGUAGAGGUGAGUGGAAUUGCGAGUGUAGAGGUGAAAUUCGUAGAUAUUCGCAGGAACACCAGUGGCGAAGGCGGCUCACUGGACCACAACUGACGCUGAGGUGCGAAAGCGUGGGGAGCAAACAGG
rnacentral:rRNA from 1 species